AUUGAACGCUGGCGGCAGGCUUAACACAUGCAAGUCGAGCGAGCGGCGGACGGGUGAGUAAUGCCUGGGAAACUGCCUGAUGGAGGGGGAAAACUACUGGAAACGGUAGCUAAUACCGCAUACCAUCAGAUGGGCCCAGAUGGGAUUAGCUAGUAGGUGGGGUAAUGGCGCACCUAGGCGACGACCCCCAGCUGGUCUGAGAGGACUACCAGCCACACUGGGACUGAGACCCGGGCCAGACUCCUACGGAAGGCAGCAGUGGGGAAUAUUGCACAAUGGGCGCAAGCCGGAUGCAGCCCUGCCGCGUGUGUGAAGAAGGCCGUCGGGUUGUAAAGCGCUUUCAGCGAGGAGGCGUUACUCGCAGAAGAAGCAACGGCUAACUCCGUGCCAGCAGCCGCGGUAAUAC
rnacentral:rRNA from 1 species